AGUGCGGCUCUGCUGGCAGCAAGCUCGUAGCUGCGACUGCGCUCCAGAGAGGGGACGCAAGCUGUAUGACCAGGGACCUCACGCGCUAGCUCAGUUGUUGUGGGCAUCUGACUUCUAGCCAAUCAAGACCUCCAGAGACCCCUGAGACUGGGGUGCUGUGGGAGGAGCUGAGGUGAGAAAGACUCCAGCAUUUGCCUACUCAUUUGGGAACUUCUCAGGGCCAGUUUGUUCUGUUACUAACUUUAGCCGUAGACAAAUCAGGUUUUGUAGGAAAGAGUAUCAAAUUAAUCUUUUCCUCCUCUUUUAUCUGAGUCUUAGGAACAUGGACAUAGGAAUUACGUAGACAGAACUCUGGUGUGUGAUUUGGGGGAAGUUAUUUCACCUCUGAACCUCGAUUUCUCUAUCUGUCACACUGAGGUUCUUAAAAGAAGUCUGAUGGGGGCUGGAGCAGGGCCGAUAUCACUGGGUUGCUGUUCAUCUUAUAGGGGUUGUCGGAGGGAUAAUAUGUGCAAAACUGCUUUGCACAAUGGCGGUGCCUAGAAAACGCUCAGAAAUGAUAGCUGUUGCUAUUACUCCAUCUUUCAGAAGCAAUCAUCACCACAUCAAGAAGCAGCAAUCUUCCAGCCAAUCAAGACAUCCGCUAGAGACGGCUGAGACUGGGGUGCCUCAGGAAGAGCUGAAGUGAGAGAGACUCCAGUAUUUGCAAAUCUCCAGGCUUAGCGAUCCUCAUAUUUCAGACAGUAACCUAGAACUGUGCCCAUCGGGCCUGAGGGAGCUGCAGGCAAUACCACUGCUUCCUGCAACACAGCGUGCUCCCACCACAUCCAGAUUUUAUUCACUGACUUUCUGCAUCUCAGCCACUUACAGAGUACUCUUUGAGAAGUGAGAGGCCAGUGGCUGGAGAUUUGGAUCUGUUAGCAAAGUGCUUGCCACAAAAGCAUGAGAACCUGGGUUCUUAUCCCCGGCACCCUUGCAAAAACUUGGCAGCUUCUAUAAUCCCAGGGCUGCAGAGACAGGGAUCCUAGGUACUUGUAACCAGCCAGAGUAGGCAAUGAGUGAGUUGCAUGUUCCUGGAGAGACCCUGACUCAAAAGAGGAGGUAAAGAGCAAUAAAGAGAAUAUGCUGA
rnacentral:sRNA from 1 species